GCUAGACACAAGCACAAUAGAUGUUUUAGCUGACGUCACGAAAACGAUGCGCGCGCUUCAAUGGGGCAGUAUGUUGUGAUUCUGGAUGGCCAGAUAACUAGCAACAAUGACAAGAAGCUACCAUGUGGGGAAUCGUAGCUCGCCGGGGGCCUGCCGAGGCUCGUCCUCCUCGUCGUCCUCCUCCUCCUCGUCGUCCCUCUUCAUGAGCUCCAUGUCCUCCUGGCCAUCGUCCGACUCGGCUGUGCAGAUGCCAUAGCACAUCAGGCUGAUCACGCCCAGUGGCAGACCAAACAGGAAACAGCCCAGCACUGGGGAGCUGCGAAACACAGACUGAGAGGAGGGAGGGGUGAUCAGGGGAAAAGAAGAAGAGAUUGAGAGAUUGGCAGAGAUGGAGAGAUUGAUAGAGAGAGAAAGAGAGAGGAGGUUUGGCAGUGGUGGACAGAAGGUAGGGUGGAACAGUGGAAAGAGUCAAAUAUAUUUAUGCUGUUGGAUUCUGGGUUAAACUUGGAACAUUGCUAUCCUAGAGACAUGACACAUCAGAAGUAAGACUAUGGUAUCUGAGGGGUGAUAGACUGUUUUUUUCAUCAGAAGUUAAUUGUUAUCUGUAGGAGCCAGAUGGCUUUGGAAUGUGCUGUGUAACCGGGAGGCAGUCACAUGAUUGCUAUGGGUGGAGAUCUUUGGGUUAGACAUCAAGGGGUUUGAGGUCAGGUCAGAUCACCUUAAGGGAGAAGGGACAUUUUAUUACCCCAUCACUUCGUCUUCCUGUUGAACCAUAAAAGAUGUAAGGAUUGGAGAGAAGGAGGAGUGCCUAAAUUGGAGUAUAUAUACUUGUGGUGGAAACAUGUUUUGUCUAAUGCAGCUGUAUUGAUCCUCUGGGAAGAAUUAAACUUGGUUAAGCUUU